rnacentral:rRNA from 1 species
UUCCAGGGAUGGGUUGGUUCCUUUUGGGACUUAUAAACAGGUGGUGCAUGGGUUUUUUUAACUUGUGUUUUGAGAUUUUUGGUUUAAUUCCCCAAAGGGGGCAACCCUUUUUCUUUUUUUCCCGGGGGUUAGGCCGGGAACUUUAAGGAGACUGCCGGUGACAAACUGGAGGAAGGUGGGGAUGACGUCAAGUCAUCAUGGCCCUUACGACUAGGGCUACACACGUGCUACAAUGGUGGGUACAAAGGGUAGCGAACUCGCGAGAGCAAG